GUUGGGAAUAUUGCACAAUGGGCGCAAGCCUGAUGCAGCGACGCCGCGUGAGGGAUGACGGCCUUCGGGUUGUAAACCUCUUUCAGUAGGGAAGAAGCGAAAGUGACGGUACCUGCAGAAGAAGCACCGGCUAACUACGUGCCAGCAGCCGCGGUAAUACGUAGGGUGCAAGCGUUGUCCGGAAUUAUUGGGCGUAAAGAGCUCGUAGGCGGUUUGUCGCGUCUGCUGUGAAAUCCCGAGGCUCAACCUCGGGCCUGCAGUGGGUACGGGCAGACUAGAGUGUGGUAGGGGAGACUGGAAUUCCUGGUGUAGCGGUGGAAUGCGCAGAUAUCAGGAGGAACACCGAUGGCGAAGGCAGGUCUCUGGGCCACUACUGACGCUGAGGAGCGAAAGCAUGGGGAGCGAACAGGAUUAGAAACCCUUGUAGUCC
rnacentral:rRNA from 1 species